rnacentral:lncRNA from 1 species
CACUUCUGGGUCCCAAUUUAGGAUAAAAAAUUGUCAGAUGCAAAAGAAGUUCCUCUCCAAAGGUUUAGCUUGUUCAGUAUCCUUGUUCUUUGUUCCCCACUUCCAAGGCUAAACUGACUUCCUUAUCCUUUGUGCCUCCCUGUCUUGGUUUAAGUAAACAACUUUCCCACCAGUCCUUGUUUACAGAGCCCACAUCUGUUACCCACUCUGUAAAUUACCCCUCCUGUUGCAAUGGCUCUUCCUGCAGAAACUGCCCUUCUUACCAGUGUAACCACAUUCCUGCACCUUUUAAGUUAGCCAAUCAGGUUCAGCUUAGAUUGUGGAGUCUAACUCCGGCCAGUGGAAGCAGGACACUGGGAGGGAGUAGCUGCGUUAAGAAUAAAAACCCCUUCCCUCCUUUGUUUGGUGUGCUCUCCUGGCACCCAGGCUUGUGAGUAGUACCCUUCUGCAGAAGUAAAUUUGCCUUGCUGAGAAAUCCUUUGUUUCAAUGCUCAUUUUCUUUGCAAUUCUGAGCCUUACUUCCAACAAACACCAGGAUUGUUUCCUCUCUUUUAUAUUAAAAAUCCUUGCUCUAAAAAAUUACUAUUUUACCCAAAACCUUUGCUUCAAUAAUCACUUUUUUUGGAUUAUUGAGUUCCAUCAUAAACAUUAUACAGCAUAUCUUUUAAUUUUCUCAAAACUCUUUUUCAGCUUAAAUUCAUUGACCUUAUCACAUGCUUCAUAGUGAUAACUGUCAUAGCAUUUUUAUUAGUUAAACUAGGAAUAUUUACACAAUGAGUUUAUAAUAAUUCUUUUACUUGGCAUAUUAUGUUCUCAUGGCAUUCAUAUUUUCCUUUACAGGCAAUUCUUUUUCUAGCUACUCACAUUUACUAUAGCAUGCAUGCAUUUCUUAGAAAUAUCACCAGAUUUUUGGUGCGGCAAUCAUAACACAGAAUUAUGGAACAUUGGAAGUAAAGAUGUCAGUUUUAAGACUUGAGAAGUGAAAAAAGAAGAGGGAAAAGAUAAAUACUGCUGAAUUCCAGCUACAUGGAAAGGUGUCUGACAGAGUGGUUCCCCAAGGAAGGCAUUAACUAGCACAGAAGUAGACACAGCAUGUGCAUGAAGCCAGAGUGCUCCAGACUUGCCACAAGGUUUAGAAGUGAAUUUCAAAUUCCAAGAGUUGUUUUCUUUGAGGUGCUUCGAGGGAUUUGAUGAGAGAGAAAACUUUCGACUACAGGUUUGUAAAAAACCCGAGGAGAUUUUUUAAAGUAUUCAUAAUUGCACAAGUUGUACAUAUUUCAUGUUUAUUUUGCUCUUUUGGCUUUACUUUAUUUGUCCCCAUGUGUACACUAUGGUGCUGCCCAGGAAUUUAUAAAUUUUGAUGGGAACCUGGAAUUUUUAAAAUUAAAAAAAAGUAUGUAAAUGUUAACCUUUAGGGCCCUUUUUCUUGCAUUUAGGAUUUACACAUUGAAAUCUCCUGCAGUGAAACUAUAUUAGAUUCCACAAUUCUCACAGGUCUGAUUUCUGUGUUUCUCAGGUUGUCACUGAGUUGUUUCAUUGCCAAAGCUGAAAUAAUGGAAAACAAAACAAAACAAAAAUCAAAAUUAUCUGGUUAGGAAAUUUUAUUUGGAAAUAACAAAGAAUAUUAAAUUAAAUUAUGAGACUCUCAAGAUUAUGGUGGGUUAUAUGAGACUUAAGAGUUUUAGGAAACUGGUUUCUAGAUGAGAGGAGCAUACUUUAAAAAUUGUGCUUUCCAUAUUUCUUUUGAUAACAUCAUUUGAGAUUAAAUGUUUAAUUUUAUUCCUAAUGCUUUAUGAUUAGUAUAUUCAACACUUGAAAUUUUGAGAUUUAAUUAUUUAAUUCAUAAGGAUAGAUAUACAAAAAUCUAAUUAUAAAUUACCUAUAUACUAUGUGUGUACAUGUCAUAUUAUAUAUGUCUAUAUAUGCUGUGAAAAUACAUGUGAUUAAUU